rnacentral:lncRNA from 1 species
CUUCUCUAAAAUCUAGGGUUGAGCUGACCCUUGAAAACUCCGAAGCAAUGGCGCAACCCACUGGAGAAUUCCUCUUCUUCUUCAUUUGUUUUCUCCAAACAUGAGACCCCUCUUAUACAAUAGAGACAAUGGCGCAUUGAGCUCCUGAACUCCUCCAUUUUGCCUUCUUCCUUCCUCAUUCUCAUUUAUGGCUAGGAUAGACACUCUCUCACGACUAACACAUGCCAAAACACGCUUCUUCUUCACAUUCUCAACAGCCUAAAUACCCAUACACGCAUGUAGACUCAUAGAAAGCAACCUUGAAUUUUGAAUUUCAUAUUCUAGAUCUGUAACACAAUAAGCUUAAAAAUCAGAACAAAAACCGAAAGAAAACAGGGUAUUUCAAAGGUGUUUCUAAUUUCUGCUGUGUCGCUUUCUUAAUUUCUUGGAUUCGGAGGUGGUUGUGGAUUUGAACUGAAGUUGCGCUUGCUGUUUCUGAUUUUGCUGAGCUCUGAUUUCUGAUUUCAGCUUUUAUUCGACUUUUCCCCUUUCCUAAAUGUGAACGUUGUGCAACGAGGUAUGUUUUCCCAAAGCCUGUUCACAUAUCUGUUUUAUUAUGGAAUUAUUGUUGUUAUUUAGCUUGUCUAUGCAAGAAUGGUUUAGAAUCCACAUAUGUGCGUACGGAGUUUGUAUGUGUUCUUUAGUUGGUUAAAAGAAAUAGCACGUGAUUUUUGAUUUGAUGUGAAGAAAUGGGCAUUUUGAAGUUGCAGUCUAUUUUCAUUUUCAUUUGUUAACGAAGAAUUAGAGUUUCCAAGUCUACCAGUGACUUUAAUCUGUUACUGUUCUAAUUGCUUUAUCUCUUUUGGAAUUGGAAUGUUAUUGCAGUAUUAUUUCUAUGAGGUGAUGAUAUUUACGGCUAUGGAUUACUAUCCAAUUAGACUUAAUUGUCAUAGUUACAUUGAUAGUUCAUCAAAUUUAAUUUUCCGUUGCUAUGUUUCUUCUUUUUCUUGUCUAAUGUUGAGAAUAAAAAUAUUCUCUGUAUUGAAAAAAUAGUCUUAUAAUGUAUUUACAUGGUGAGUCAGAAUCAAUAAAAAAAUAUUCCAAACGAAGUGGGACAAAUUCGGUACUUUCUACACAUUAUUCAAAACUUGAACUCUCCAUGGUAAUGGAAUGCCUUUAAUUUGGAAUGGGAGGGGGUUAAAAAUCAGAUUCCUUCCAAAGCAAUAAUGAACCAAGUAUUAACGAAACUCUACAUAUCUUUCCUUAAUGUUCGGGUGGGGCUCCCGAGCCCCAAACGUCAAAUGUCGAGGUUCGAGUGAAGUUAAAAGCUUAGGAAAAACCACGUUUUGCUGCUUCUAUCAUUACCGCUUCUGCGGCUCCUGGACCACUUAGUCGAUUGCGGACCCAAAACAGGGCAGGUCGGGGAAAAAUCGCAGAAGCGGCCUAGGGACUGCAGAAGCGAUUCCGCCUAUGCGGCCCCCAUAGCACAUAAGCGGUCCAGCCCAAAAUUUGUAAAGCCGUAGAAGUUGCCUAAUUCUGCGAAAGGGGAUUCCACAUAAGCGGAAAUCCACCCGCAAAAGCAAAAAGGCUUGGCAGUGAGCUUCAUUUAUUAAGAGCUCAAGCUCAUUUCUUUCACAUCUUUCUCAAUACUUGCGCAAUUUUGGUGAUUCCAAAGAGGGAAUUUCAAUAUAUUGUUGCAUGGUAAGUAAUCCCCACUCACUUUUAGUUCAAGUAAACAAACAAUAGGUAGAUUUAACACUAAAAAUUAAGUAAAAUCAAGAGGUUGGGACUAGACCGAGGGUUUUCAUAAAAUUAAAAUUUAACCACAAAAUUAGCUAUGUAAUUAACUAGAAAUCACAUAUUAGUGAUCCUUAGGUUAUAGAGAAUAAUUUUCUUCGAAAAAUAUCAGGAUCCGGGCACGUGGGCUUGGGGUCGGAAUUUAGGAAAUGUAUGGGAAAGGUUGGAAAAUCACUUAAAUAGUUAGAAUUCAACCUUGUAAGCUCUUAUUGACUUAUUCCUAAACUUUUUUACCAGUUCGUGAACUUUGGGCUUUGCUUUGAGGUUUCGGGCUUGUUCUUGAUAGUUGGAAGUGCGCUUCGGAGCGAAGUGAGUCUCCUUUCUAACCUCGUGAGAGGGAAUUGUCCCUUUAGAACAAAAAGUGAUAAAUUGCUAUUAAAUGCGUAGGCUACGUAUGUACUAGGUGAUGAGAGUCCGUGCGUAGCUACUAUGAUAUUAAAUGUUUGGGUAGUUUAGGACCCACAUCAUGUCUAAUGUGAGAUAUCCAUUAUUUGAAUUAUCAAAAUUAUCUUUUGUGAUAUGUUAAGAGAACAUAGAAGAACGAAAAGUGAUCAUACAAAUAUUGUUGAACCUUGUAAGAAUUUACUUGCGUAUAAAUGAUACCUUUGUGUGCGUUCUUGAUAUUUUAAUUAAUAUUUGUGGAUCGGGCCGAUCGCCUUGGUGAAAUAGAUAUAUCUAUGGUACGGGCUGCUCGACCCUCGGCAGUGCACAAUUUAUAUUCUAUUGGAGCAGGCCGUCGACAUUGUUGCGCAUGAAUAUAUAUAUAUAUAUGUAUGUGUGUGUGUGUGUGUGUGUGUGUGCGCGCGCGCUCGAGCUUAUACCUUUCACCUUAUGUGAGAUAUUAUUUGAAUUAUUAAAAAAAUCUUUUAUGAUAUGUUAGGGACUAGAGUAGAACGAAAAGUAAUAAUACGAAUAUUGUCGAACCUUCUAAGUAUUUCCUUGUAUAUAAAUGAUCCAUUUGCGUGCAUUUUGAUUUUUUAAUUGAUAUUUGUGGAUCGGGCCGAUCACCUCGGUAAAAUAGAUGCAUUUAUGGUUUGUGCCGCUUGACCCUCGGCAGUGCACAAUUUGUAUUCUGUUGGAGUGGGCCGUCGAUAUAUAUAUAUAUAUAUAUAUUGUCGAGCUUAUACCUUUCAUGAUUUAUUGAUAAUUAUUAUAAAAGAGGGAAAAUGAUAAAAGAAAAAUGUGAUUAAGAGCAUGAUUAUGACUUCCCAUGAUAACUAUCUUAUAAAUAAACUAUUUAUGCUCUAAAUCGUACAACUUGACUAUCUCCCGAAUUUAUACACACACAUAUAUGCAUGCUCGAGCUGAGACUUUUCAUGAUUUAUUGCUAAUUAUUGUAAAAGAAGGAAAAUGAUAAAAGAAAAAUAUGAUUAAGAGCAUGAUCAGGAUUUCCAUGAUAAAGUUGUAUAAAUGAACUAUUUAAUUUCUAAAUCGUACAUGAUUACAAUAAUAUUAUCUUCACCUAGUGGGUAUCAAGUCGACCUCUCAUAUCUACCUCUUCGAGAUUAGGUAGGAAACUCACUGGGUACAUAUUGUUUAUAUACUCAUGCUACGCUCUGUACUUAAAUGUACAUGUUCUGAGGCCGAUUCAUUUGGUUAUCGAUCAGGCGUGCGCCGGUGAGCUGCGGCAGAGACUUCUACUGUGAGCUACUUCCCUUGCUAUGCCGCUCAACAGCCGGAUGGAGUCUUCAUUUGUAUUUUUACUGUCUUUCUUUAUUUCAGACAGUAUGAUAGAGAUGUUUUGUAUAUUCUACUAUACGCUCGUACUUGUGACACCAGGUCUUGGCACCCACUUUAGUAGACUAGUUUUGGGUUGUAAUAUUAUAUCCCUACAUUGAUUACUGUAUCAGGUUUUUGAAAAUCCCUUUUGGGAUGCUUAUCCCUUUCAUAAAAAUGGUGAUGUUGUUAAACUUAGAAAUAUUUUCCGCACAUGGCUUGCGCGACAAGGUUGUUGGGCGCCAACAUGACCUGCUAUGGAAAUGGGUCGUGAUAGCAUGUUUCUAGCAGGAAAUGUUAUUGUCUCGCAUAGUCUUGAUUUAUAUUUUCUCAUAUAUGUGUGGAUUUACUUUCCGGACCUUGAGCAUUACAGAUACCCUAGGAUCACUGCAUUCAGGAGCUGUCCGAGGAGCCAUUUUAUGUGUUUAAGUCAAUUGUUCGUGUUUUACUUUCCAGUCUUAUAUAGUGAUUUUUAGUCUUUUAGGUGAUGUUAGUUUUUUUAAUAAUCUAAUUAAGUUUUCCUAGUCUUUUUUAUUGUAUUUCUAUUUUGUAUUUGGAAAUGUGUUACAAGUCAAAAAU